rnacentral:rRNA from 1 species
UACGGAGGGUGCAAGCGUUGUUCGGAAUUAUUGGGCGUAAAGCGCGCGCAGGCGGUCGAAACAGUCCAUGGGUCAAAGGCCGGGGCUCAACCCCGAGUACGCCCAGGAUACUUUUCGACUGGAGACACGUAGAGGCAAGCGGAAUUCCGGGUGUAGCGGUGGAAUGCGUAGAGAUCCGGAAGAACACCGGAGGCGAAGGCGGCUUGCUGGGCGUGAUCUGACGCUGAGGCGCGAAAGCGUGGGGAGCGAACAGG